UACGGAGGGUGCAAGCGUUAUCCGGAUUCACUGGGUUUAAAGGGUGCGUAGGUGGGUUGGUAAGUCCGUGGUGAAAUCUCCGAGCUUAACUCGGAAACUGCCGUGGAUACUAUCAAUCUUGAAUACUGUGGAGGUAAGCGGAAUAUGUCAUGUAGCGGUGAAAUGCUUAGAUAUGGCAUAGAACACCGAUAGCGGAGGCAGCUUGCUACACAGUCAUUGACACUGAGGCACGAAAGCGUGGGGAUCAAACAGG
rnacentral:rRNA from 1 species